GUAGGGUGCGAGCGUUAAUCGGAAUUACUGGGCGUAAAGCGUGCGCAGGCGGUUGGGUAAGUCAGAUGUGAAAGCCCCGGGCUCAACCUGGGAACGGCAUUUGAGACUGCCUGGCUGGAGUAUGGCAGAGGGGGGUGGAAUUCCACGUGUAGCAGUGAAAUGCGUAGAGAUGUGGAGGAACACCGAUGGCGAAGGCAGCCCCCUGGGCCAUGACUGACGCUCAUGCACGAAAGCGUGGGGAGCAAAC
rnacentral:rRNA from 1 species